rnacentral:misc_RNA from 1 species
UUUUAAUACUGAUUGUCCCGGAGUUUCGGGAGGCGUCCUUUUGUUCCGUCCGAUGCUUCGGGACAGGACAAAAGAUACAGUGUACAGCAGGAAAUAGC